GAGGUAACCUGGGGGCAGAGAAGCUUGAUUGACGCUCAAGAAAUUGGAAUCUUCGUUUAGCUUUAAUAUUAGUAUUUUCUGCCUAACAGCCUAAUCCUGUUAUUUCUUGUAGCUUUCUCGUACUUUUUUCUUUCACAUUUUAAAAUUCAACAGAAGCUUCAGAGCAAGCUGAUGACCUACAUAUGUAGGGUAGAUUGAAGGGGUCGUUUUGGAUGGAGGGAUCUAUCAAGUCCAUUCAGCCUGCUAGAAUAAAAAUGCCAUAACCUGGGAGACAGGAUUAAGAUGGCAGAGUAGAGGACUGGAGCUCACCUUCUCUCAUAAAAGCAACAAAAUUACAACCAGCUGCUGAACCACCUUCAACCAAACAGACUGCAAACUAUCAAAAAAGAUAUCCUACUCCAGAAGAUAAAGAGGAGGCCACAUCAAGAUGCUUGGUCUUCAUGGACUACGUGCCAGAAUGAGGCAGGCCUUGAAGUCCAUUAGUUUCACCAUCAUAGUUGAAGAACAACUACGUGUUUUGGAGUAUUGGUGACCAACGGCCAGAAACAAGGUUAACUUCACGAUCUCAAAUACGACUGAUCGGGGAGGACCAGUAUCUGUUUUCUCCUGAGCUGUGGUUGGAGCAAGGAGUUCCUGGCAGGUUUUCCAUGUAUAUGCCCAGAGUACCAGCACAAACUGAAAGUAAAACCUGGGGUCUAAAAAUGGCCUGAAUUUUUAAUGUGCUUCCUUGCCAGCCCAUAGAUCUGUCAACAGAAGAAGGAAGCCUUAUGGACUUGACUUGGUUGAACAUGAUUUCUGUCCAAUAACCGGGUGACAACUAAGGCACACAGGGAUAGAAGUGGCCCUCGAGAAGCAAGACCUAAAAAAAGACUGGAUUAUGUGUUUUAAAACAUAACCUGAGCAGAAAUAACAUUAAUGGUUGCACAGAAUAGCAGAAACCGAUUUCACAGCUUUAUCCCAGUCAUACAAACAAAGAAUCAUGCAGACUAAAGGAAACAAACAAAGCAAAAAAUGAAACAAAAUAAAAACAAUAAUAAAAUUCCAAGAACAACAGCAAUUUUAAGAGCAAAGAUAGCCAGAAUUGCAACAUUGUCAGUUUUCAACAAAACCAAAAAGAUAUGACAAAAAAUAAAUGAGAAAAGUGUGACCUAUAUUAAGGGGAAAGUUAAUAGAAAUUUAUUUUAGUAACCUCCGAUGCUGAAUUUCACAGGAAAGAAAACCCUUCCAAUGGUUCUUUUAAACAUGUUAGAAGAAUUAAUCUACAUUUAAAGAAUUAAAGGAACCCAAAGUAAUGAUAAAUAAAUAAAGAUUCUCAAGUAGGAGAUAAACAUUAUACAGAAAAGAAUGAACAUGAUAGAUUUAAAAAUUUAAAGGAGUGAAAUUAUCCAAUCUGAAGAACUGAAAGAGAAAAUAUCGAAGAAAAAUAAACAAACCCUCGUGACCUGUGGGAUAGCAUUAAGCUUGACAAUAUUAUGUAAUGGGAGACUCUAAAAGAGAGUGAAAUAAUAUUUGAAGACUAAUGAAUGAAAACUUUCCAAAGUUGAUAAAAGCAUUAAUAUGGAGGUCCAUAAAGGUUGAUAACAUCGAGGUAGAAUAAACACAAAGACAUUUUUUACCUAGACGUAUCUAUCACACAUUGUUGAAAUCCAAGAACCAGGAGAAAAUCUUGAAAGCAGUAAAUGAAAAAAUGACUCAUUACUUAUAGGAGAGCAUCUUUAUGAUCAGUGCCUGACUUACCAUCGGCAAGAGUGGUGACUAAAAGAUGGUGGGGUGACAUAUGUGAAGUGCUGAAAGAAAAUAAAUCUGUAGAAUAAUGGUGCCUUUGAGGUCCAAGUCUUAAUCCUUGAAAUUCUGUGUUACAUUGCUGGAAAAACAGAACUAAGGUUGCAGAUGCAAUUGAAUGUCCUAAUCAGCCAACUUUAAAUUGGGUGAUUAUUCUGGCUGUAAUCCGAUGAGUUUAUAUUUUCGCAAAGGUUCUUAAAAGUGGCAGAGGGAGACAGAAGAGGAGGUCAGAAUGCUGUGAUCUGCAAAGAGGCCAACCUGACAAUUCUGGCUUAGAAGGGGAAGAACGAGGACCAUGAGGCAAGGCUCUAAAGGCUGGAAUAGGCAAAGAAAUUGAUUCUCCUCUGGAACCUACAGAGGAAACUCAGCCCCCCAGAUCAAGAAAUAAAAAAA
ensembl:lncRNA